rnacentral:rRNA from 1 species
UACGGAGGGUGCGAGCGUUAAUCGGAAUUACUGGGCGUAAAGCGCAUGCAGGCGGUUGAUUAAGCGAGAUGUGAAAGCCCCGGGCUUAACCUGGGAACUGCAUUUCGAACUGGUCAACUAGAGUCUUGUAGAGGGAGGUAGAAUUUCAGGUGUAGCGGUGAAAUGCGUAGAGAUCUGAAGGAAUACCAGUGGCGAAGGCGGCCUCCUGGACAAAGACUGACGCUCAGAUGCGAAAGCGUGGGGAGCAAACAGG